CCAGGACACAAAGUCACAACAGCCAAUCAACACAGUAUUGUACAGUUAGACACUCCCAGCUAAUGUACACAAACCUUCCCCUCUGCCUGUGAUACAAUUACCAAACACAAUGGACUAACUCAAUUACCACAGGCAGAAAAUAUCAAUUUUUACCCAAAGUCCAGAAACACCCCAAAACACCCUGUUUAGAGCAGGGGUUCAAAAGUUUUAUGGAAGUCACAUUUGACCGAUGGCAAGCAUGGCUUUCUUGCCCAACACAGUUCCACAGAUUUAGGCUGUGCGGACGGUCUAUCUUCUCCACUAUCCUGGAGAUAAUUGGCUUAAGUGGCUGUGGUAACGUAAUUAUCUCCAGUAACAAAAAAUAUCUCUAAGUCAAAAAACUGUUACAAAAACCACAUAAAAAUACAUAACUCUUAUAAUACAAUAAAAUAGAAACUGGUCUGCUUUGUGCAAACAAAGU